rnacentral:tRNA from 2 species
AUCCUUUUAGUAUAAAUGAAUAUUUUUGACUUCCAAUCAAAAGAUCUUAAUAAUAAAGAAAGGAUA